AUGGUAAUGUAUUUUUGUGUUGUUUUCUCUUUCCUUAGUCUUCUUCUCCCUUCCCUCCUGCACCUCUCCUCCAUCCUCUUUCCUCACCGAUGGUCCAGUCGCUGUGGUCAGCCUCUGUGCCCCACCUGGGUAGCUGACGAAGGAGGUGCGGUUGGUUUUGCCAGUUUAGCCAACUUCAGAACAUCAGUGGGCUCUCAAAACACUUCUUUAGCUCCCAGGGCACUGCUCAGCCAUCUUCUUCUCAUUAUGGAACUAGGUCUCCCUGAAGCCCUGAAACUGGCCCAGUUCCUUUGGUUGCCAUCGUCUGGGAUGUCACAGACAUCUGGGCUUGCAUCUUUCUGCGUGACUACCCUAAUCCAGUUUCCAUUUAGCAGCUUCUUGUGCUUUUGCCGUGUCCUCCCAACCAGGUCGCUUCAUGUUGUACUAAGUUGAAUGUAGCUAGGAUGCCAGAAUCUGAUCUUUCUGAUCCAGUUUUGCAUUGAAUGUGCUGAGAGCCAGAGUGCUCCUUGAGACGUUGUUUGUGAAAAGUAGCCUAUUUGGUGGUAAAUAAGCCAUUAUCAUUUGAGGUUACCAAAGAGGAAGACUUUGUUAGAUUGAUUGAGUCAUAGUCAUGUUUAUGCUGAAACAGAACUCUUCCAACCAUCUCAUUUUACAGACAAGGAAACUGAACUCUAAAGAGAGGAAGAGUCCAGCAGAGGUUAUAGACAGGAGUGAUUUAAGUGCAAAUUUGGGGCUUACAACACUAAUUUGAGAUAGAAUAGGUUUGUGAGGGGUGUGUGUGUGUGUGUGUGUGUGUGUGUGUGUGUGUUUUCACAUGGACAUGAACAGAGGAGAAGAGAAAACUGGGAACCCAUAUGGCUGAGGGGGAAAGGAAGUGGAAAAUCUUUGUGUGUGGGGUGAGGAGGAGGCGUAGGAGAGUAGAGGCAAGAAGUGUUCAAAAAGGAAAUCCACCAGAAAAGAGUUAAGAAAGUAAGAAAGAAAGCUCAAAUGUUUAAUAGAUUAAACCAGGGCAGGAACUGAACAGACCGAUUUUAGAAAUCAUGUCGGCAGAACACCUUAAAAAGCAAACCAUGGAAGGAUAUUUCUAGAGAUAAGGAAAAGAAAGAUCUAGAGAAAAGCCCAGGCUGUUAAGCAUGGCUUAAGACAAUAAUUUGAGUGAAAUCUUGGAAAUGGUUGCUCUUUCCUUAAGCGAAUUAGAGGCAUCAGAGACACAGCUUAACUUGGUGCAGAAAUAGUGUGGAAUUGGCUGUAACCAGACUCUAAACCAGGUGGAGCUGUGUGUGUUUUGUUGACCUGUAUCGUGUGAAACCCAAACUUCCACAUUCCCAAGUUAAGGUAAAUCUUGCAGCCGCAGUGACUGGCUGAGUAGGAGAUUUUGAUGACCAUACUUUCUUGCAAAGACUGUGCUUUUCACUCUUUUGAACUGUUGACGUCAAUGGUAGCAUUUAUUACUGUGAAUUUAGUCGAUAGCAAAUUUGACAGCAAUAAAGAAGGACUGCUAAUCA
rnacentral:lncRNA from 12 species